rnacentral:rRNA from 1 species
UACGUAGGGUGCAAGCGUUGUCCGGAAUUAUUGGGCGUAAAGAGCUCGUAGGCGGCUUGUCGCGUCGACUGUGAAAACCCGUGGCUCAACCAUGUGGUCUGCAGUCGAUACAGGCAGGCUAGAAUUCGGUAGGGGAGACUGGAAUUCCUGGUGUAGCGGUGAAAUGCGUAGAUAUCACUUGGAACGCCAAUGGUGAAGACGAGCUCGCGUGGGGGAUGUCCUGACGCUGAGGCGCGAAAAGCCAGGGGAGGCGAACGGG